GAUGAACGCUGGCGGCGUGCUUAACACAUGCAAGUCGAACGAUGAACCUCACUUGUGGGGGGAUUAGUGGCGAACGGGUGAGUAACACGUGAGUAACCCGCCCUUGACUCUGGGAUAAGCCUGGGAAACCGGGUCUAAUACUGGAUACGACCUUCUGGCGCAUGCCAUGUUGGUGGAAAGCUUUUGUGGUUUUGGAUGGACUCGCGGCCUAUCAGCUUGUUGGUGGGGUAAUGGCCUACCAAGGCGACGACGGGUAGCCGGCCUGAGAGGGUGACCGGCCACACUGGGACUGAGACACGGCCCAGACUCCUACGGGAGGCAGCAGUGGGGAAUAUUGCACAAUGGGCGCAAGCCUGAUGCAGCGACGCCGCGUGAGGGAUGAAGGCCUUCGGGUUGUAAACCUCUUUCAGUAGGGAAGAAGCCGGCUUUUGGGUUGGUGACGGUACCUGCAGAAGAAGCGCCGGCUAACUACGU
rnacentral:rRNA from 1 species